rnacentral:tRNA from 1 species
UGCCCGGUUGUGUAAUGGUAGCACGACUGCCUCUGGAGCAGUUAGUUUUGGUUCGAAUCCAAGCCGGGCAG